rnacentral:rRNA from 1 species
GAUGAACGCUGGCGGCGUGCCUAAUACAUGCAAGUCGAGCGAACGGACGAGAAGCUUGCUUCUCUGAUGUUAGCGGCGGACGGGUGAGUAACACGUGGAUAACCUACCUAUAAGACUGGGAUAACUUCGGGAAACCGGAGCUAAUACCGGAUAAUAUUUUGAACCGCAUGGUUCAAAAGUGAAAGACGGUCUUGCUGUCACUUAUAGAUGGAUCCGCGCUGCAUUAGCUAGUUGGUAAGGUAACGGCUUACCAAGGCAACGAUGCAUAGCCGACCUGAGAGGGGGAUCGGCCACCCGGGACAUGAGACACGGCCCAGACCCCUACGGGAGGCAGGAGUGGGGAAUCUUCCGCAAUGGGCGAAAGCCUGAGGGAGCAACGCCGCGGGGGUGAUGAAGGUCUUCGGAUCGUAAAACUCUGUUAUUAGGGAAAAAAAAAUGUGUAAGUAACGGUGCACAUCUUGACGGUACCAAACCAAAAAGCCACGGCUAACUACGU